UGCAGUCUAUUUGGCCAACGUAGAAGAUA
rnacentral:piRNA from 1 species